rnacentral:rRNA from 1 species
AUACGUAGGUGGCAAGCGUUGUCCGGAAUUAUUGGGCGUAAAGCGCGCGCAGGUGGUUCCUUAAGUCUGAUGUGAAAGCCCCCGGCUCAACCGGGGAGGGUCAUUGGAAACUGGGGAACUUGAGUGCAGAAGAGGAUAGUGGAAUUCCAAGUGUAGCGGUGAAAUGCGUAGAGAUUUGGAGGAACACCAGUGGCGAAGGCGACUGUCUGGUCUGUAACUGACACUGAGGCGCGAAAGCGUGGGGAGCAAACAGGAUUAGAUCCCCGGGUAGUCCACGCCGUAAACGAUGAGUGCUAAGUGUUGGGGGGUUUCCGCCCCUCAGUGCUGCAGCUAACGCAUUAAGCACUCCGCCUGGGGAGUACGGUCGCAAGACUGAAACUCAAAGGAAUUGACGGGG